GAUGAAGAACGUAGCGAAAUGCGAUAAGUAGUGUGAAUUGCAGAAUUCAGUGAAUCAUCGAAUCUUUGAACGCUCAUUGCGACCCUUGGUAUUCCAUGGGGCAUGCCUGUUCGAGCGUCAUUUGUACCUUCAAGCUUUGCUUGGUGUUGGGUGUUUGUCUCGCCUUUGCGUGUAGACUCGCCUUAAAAUAAUUGGCAGCCGGCGUAUUGAUUUCGGAGCGCAGUACAUCUCGCGCUUUGCACUCAUAACGACAGCGUCCAAAAGUACAUUUUACACUCUUGACCUCGGAUCAGGUAGGGAUACCCGCUGAACUUAAGCAUAUCAAUAAGCGGAGGA
rnacentral:misc_RNA from 1 species